rnacentral:rRNA from 1 species
UGGGGAAUAUUGGACAAUGGGCGAAAGCCUGAUCCAGCCAUGCCGCGUGUGUGAAGAAGGUCUUCGGAUUGUAAAGCACUUUAAGUUGGGAGGAAGGGCAGUAAGCGAAUACCUUGCUGUUUUGACGUUACCGACAGAAUAAGCACCGGCUAACUCUGUGCCAGCAGCCGCGGUAAUACAGAGGGUGCAAGCGUUAAUCGGAAUUACUGGGCGUAAAGCGCGCGUAGGUGGUUCGUUAAGUUGAAUGUGAAAGCCCCGGGCUCAACCUGGGAACUGCAUCCAAAACUGGCGAGCUAGAGUAGGGCAGAGGGUGGUGGAAUUUCCUGUGUAGCGGUGAAAUGCGUAGAUAUAGGAAGGAACACCAGUGGCGAAGGCGACCACCUGGGCUCAUACUGACACUGAGGCGCGAAAGCGUGGGGAGCAAACAGG